UGAAUUCUGCACCUAUGGAAGUGUGACAGGCUAAGCCUAAGGGAAAAGUAAGCCUUUUUCCCUGAGAGCUUCAGCUCACCACCACGGAAGGAGCACUCUCUUGCCACUUCAUGCAGAAUAAAGAAAACUGAUCAAAAUGGGCCAGGCUGAAACGUGCAUACUCCACAGGAUGUGCAGUUCUGGCCUCCUCGCCUCCAAAAAUCACCACAGAGGAAAAGAAAGGCACACAGAAAGAUGAUUGAGAUGAUGAGAGGAAGAUUAAGCUGUUUAACAAGUGGAAAUCUUCAACAGAGCAGCCAGUGACUAUCCCUGGAAGGUGCCCACUCUAACUACAGUCUAGAAGAGAACGAGCAUGAGGAUACAGAGAAAACAAGAGAGAGUGGGUGUUUUUCCCAUAAGAUAUAGCACUCUGUGAGGUGAUCUUCUGUAGUAAUCACAGUAGAAAGAUGAGUUAGGAUUCAUUAAUGUCUAUCAGAUUUGCAGCACCGAGAAUGAUGCAUUCAAAUUUACGUUUGGGUACCGAUAAUAAGGAGUUUUAUCCCUAUCUCUUGAUCUAGUUCGCUUUGUAGUCAAGACUUUGUUUUUUCUUUCAAUUUAACUGUGUUAGAAACUUCAACAAUACAGCACAGACCAGAUGUUGAAGUAGAAUAAAUAGCAUUGAAUAGUUUAAAAA